rnacentral:tRNA from 1 species
UGGGUUAGUAGUUUAACUGGUCAAAUCCGUUCUUGUCGAGAACGUGUAUGCCGGAUCGUGACCGGCCUAACUCGU